rnacentral:ncRNA from 1 species
CUCAGCAUGAACCGGUGUUCGUUCCCAGGGUCGUCACGUCCCGCCUUCCACCAUCCUCCGGGAUGAGAUGGUGGGUCUGGCGACAUCAAGCUGGGUUCGUUCUGAGAAGAUACGGUCAUAUGAACUUGAUCAAGAUAAUUCUUGCGAAAGGAUCAUGCCUUCCCCGUCC